rnacentral:rRNA from 1 species
ACGCUGGCGGCGUGCCUAAUACAUGCAAGUAGAACGCUGAAGAGAGGAGCUUGCUCUUCUUGGAUGAGUUGCGAACGGGUGAGUAACGCGUAGGUAACCUGCCUUGUAGCGGGGGAUAACUAUUGGAAACGAUAGCUAAUACCGCAUAACAAUAGGUGACACAUGUCAUUUAUUUGAAAGGGGCAAUUGCUCCACUACAAGAUGGACCUGCGUUGUAUUAGCUAGUAGGUGAGGUAACGGCUCACCUAGGCGACGAUACAUAGCCGACCUGAGAGGGUGAUCGGCCACACUGGGACUGAGACACGGCCCAGACUCCUACGGGAGGCAGCAGUAGGGAAUCUUCGGCAAUGGGGGCAACCCUGACCGAGCAACGCCGCGUGAGUGAAGAAGGUUUUCGGAUCGUAAAGCUCUGUUGUAAGUCAAGAACGAGUGUGAGAGUGGAAAGUUCACACUGUGACGGUAGCUUACCAGAAAGGGACGGCUAACUACGUGCCAGCAGCCGCGGUAAUACGUAGGUCCCGAGCGUUGUCCGGAUUUAUUGGGCGUAAAGCGAGCGCAGGCGGUUUGAUAAGUCUGAAGUUAAAGGCUGUGGCUCAACCAUAGUUCGCUUUGGAAACUGUCAAACUUGAGUGCAGAAGGGGAGAGUGGAAUUCCAUGUGUAGCGGUGAAAUGCGUAGAUAUAUGGAGGAACACCGGUGGCGAAAGCGGCUCUCUGGUCUGUAACUGACGCUGAGGCUCGAAAGCGUGGGGAGCGAACAGGAUUAGAUACCCCGGUAGUCCACGCCGUAAACGAUGAGUGCUAGGUGUUGGAUCCUUUCCGGGAUUCAGUGCCGCAGCUAACGCAUUAAGCACUCCGCCUGGGGAGUACGACCGCAAGGUUGAAACUCAAAGGAAUUGACGGGGGCCCGCA